GGGGUUGUGGCUCAGUGGUAGAGCACUCACCUAGCCCGUGUGAGGCGCUAGAUUCGAUCCUCAGCACCA
rnacentral:tRNA from 1 species